rnacentral:sRNA from 1 species
UCCUAGCCCUGAUAGCAGCGGCAUCCUUUAUGUUCUUUUUUUAAGAACAUAAAGAUACAGCGGAGAGCGGGAAGUAGC